GAAAAGCACAUUUUCUGUAGGACAACUUGGAGACGUGACGUUGAAUUAGCAAUAUUCUUCCUAUUUAACUGCUGAUACGGGGCCACAGAUCCAUCACCAAAAUGCUCGAAUAUUUGCAAGCAUACAAAACUAUGACCUCUGCAGAAAAGUAUGCCAGAAUGUGUUUUAGGAUCCAUAUCAAUACAGCCCUGAAGAUUCACAGAAAUGGUGUUCUAGUUCUUGGAUAUUCUUCAGUGGGCUACAUCACCACCCGCCAAUGUCUCAGCAGAAAACUUCUUGAGAAUCUAAAACCCAUGGGCUUUGGUGAUUCAGAAGAUAAUGAGAACAAGGAAUCGUAG
rnacentral:lncRNA from 1 species